rnacentral:rRNA from 1 species
AGAGUGAACGCUGGCGGUAGGCCUAACACAUGCAAGUCGAACGGCAGCACGGUAAGAGCUUGCUCUUAUGGGUGGCGAGUGGCGGACGGGUGAGGAAUACAUCGGAAUCUACCUUUUGGUGGGGGAUAACGUAGGGAAACUUACGCUAAUACCGCAUACGCCCUUCGGGGGAAAGCCGGGGACCAGCAAGUGGCCUGGCGCUGAUAGAUGAGCCGAUGUCGGUAUUAGCUAGUUGGUGAGGUAAUGGACUCACCGAAGGCGUACGAGUCCGUAGCCGUGGUCUGAGUAGGCUAGAUCGAGCCCUACACGUGGAACCUGAGAC